rnacentral:pre_miRNA from 1 species
UUAGCUCAUAUUUGUAUGGAAUAGGAUCGUUUGCCUACGUUUGCCGUUAGGGGCGCUGUUCCAACUGCAUACAAAAUUGGGUUA